UUGUGACGGUCUCUUACUUGGGUGCAGAAGAAAGAAAGGCGCGACUAUAGAUUAUAGGAGAUGGAUGGAUAGAUCGAUGGUGUGACAGUUGUCCGUUUAUACCAAGCCGCCGCCCUGAAAAUUAUGAAGUAAAUUAUCAAAACCAAGGAACCCUUAUCCCCUCCUGCAUCAUCAAUCCCUCUGGCUCUUCUCAAAUCCGAAGAAAAUGUCGUCUAGUUCUCGGAUGAUUCCAUUAUUCAAAAAUCCUCAGAAAUCAGACAACUCAGCUACCCACUUUCUUAUUUUGAUCAGAGCACAAGCUGUAUGAUGCAGCUCCCCACUACGCCACUGUACACAGCAAUCAAAUUCCCGCCAAAACUUCACGAUUUUCUGCCCAAAUUCCAUAUUUUCCCGUCCAAGAGGGGACCCUUUCUGGGAAUUCAUUUUUAUCGACCAAGAAUGGAUUUUCUCGGCGUGUUUCCUGUUAGGUCGCAAAUGGGUGAUUCUCGUUCCGGGGCUGAUCAUGGGUUUCGUACAAUGAUGGAGUAUGUGGGUAAAGGAGGAGUGAACGCGGGUGAUGAUUUGGUGGUGUUGUUCCAUCAUUUGCAGUAUGCUUGCAAGAGAAUUGCUGCUCUUGUGGCUUCUCCCUUCAACCCGUCUCUGGGGAAGCAAGCAGGUCUCGCAGGGAGCGCCGGCGGCGGCGAAUCAGGCAGGGAUGCGCCGAAGCCACUGGAUAUCGUGUCGAAUGAAAUUAUAUUAUCUUCUCUUCGAAAUUCUGGGAAAGUUGCAGUUGUAGCCUCAGAAGAAGACGAUGCUCCCAUUUGGAUAGCUGAUGAUGGUCCAUUUGUGGUGGUAACAGAUCCUCUUGAUGGCUCACGAAAUAUUGAUGCCUCGAUUCCCACGGGAACAAUUUUUGGGAUUUAUGACCGCCUUGUCGAAGUUGAUAAUCUACCAAAGGAGGAGAAAGCACUGCUGAAUUCACUCCAGAGUGGAAGCAGGCUUGUAGCUGCUGCCUAUGUUCUCUAUUCAUCAGCCACAAUACUGUGCACUAGCUUUGGUUCAGGCACACAUGCAUUUACACUGGAUCAUUCAACUGGAGACUUUAUUCUUACACAUCCUAGCAUUAAAAUUCCCCAUCGAGGUCAAAUCUAUUCUGUAAAUGAUGCAAGAUAUUUUGACUGGCCCGAAGGUUUGAGGCAAUAUAUUGAUACUGUAAGACAAGGCAAAGGAAAAUACCCAAAGAAGUACUCAGCCCGCUACAUUUGUUCACUGGUUGCUGAUUUCCAUCGUACUCUGAUGUAUGGUGGAGUCACAAUGAAUCCUAGGGACCAUCUUCGUCUAGUUUAUGAGGCCAAUCCUCUCAGUUUUCUUGUGGAGCAAGCUGGAGGCAGAGGUUCUGAUGGUAAGAAUAGGAUACUCUCAAUCCAACCAGUCAAGCUGCAUCAAAGACUUCCUCUAUUUUUGGGAAGUUUGGAAGAUAUGGAAGAGUUAGAGAGUUAUGGAAAUGUUCAACAGAAAGUAAAUCCUGGUUAUGAAGUUUGAUGCUUUGAUGACCCUCAAUGGCAGUGAUUUGAGUUAAUCUCAGAUUCGCUUUUGUUAGUAAGCCUCUACCUUACAAAAAUUUAAAGUUUGACAAGUGGCCCUGGAUCAAGCAAAAUGGAGGAAAAGUAUUCAUUUAGUCAAAAUUAUGUGCCAGGACUCAGGUUAUGUCGUGGUUGUUGGUUUUACUGUUGUAUCACAACUCUGUCCAACUAUUCCAACCUUAAGCAGCUUUUUCAUGAUGAUACUGGUCGGUGAAAAUAGUUUGAACUUGAGCUGCCUUCAGUCGUAAUGAUGCCCACUCCUGCUCUACCAUCACUAUUCUCAUGGACUUAGCAACUUCAUCUCGAUCAAAGGAGCCGUCUUCAUUCCUCUGCACCUCCAAUCCAAUUCCAUUCUCCACUAACAGCUUUGCAUUCAGACCUUGAUCAGCCAUCAUCGGCAUGAGAAUUAGGGGGUGUCCAAAACAAAGGGAUUCAAUGAUGGAACCCCACCCUGAGUGGAAGAGACAUCCUCCAAUGGCAGGAUGAGCCAGGAUCUCCUGUUGUGGUGCCCAACCAUAACAAACUAUGCCCUGGCCAGAGGUUCUAGCUGAAAACCCAGAAGGCAAGAAGCCUGAGCUAUCAACUUCAUCUGGCUUCCUGAGAAUCCAUAUAAAAGGUAGCUUGGAGAGCUCAAUCCCAAGGGCCAAUUCCUGGAUCUGUUCAACAGGCAUCUUGUACUCACUUCCAAAUCCCACAAAAACUACGGAGUUCAGCUUCUGUUUGUCCAGCCAUUUGAAAGUAAAAUCCCAGUUUUUAUUGAGGAGACUCUGAGCUUUGUUCUUUUCUAGAUUUGGUGGGAGUAAGCCAAUAGGCAAAACUGGUUUCUGGUAGAGUUCUUCAAGAAGGUUUAAGUAGUUUCCUUCAAAGUCUCUGCAGCUUCUUACAACAACAAAGUUACAUCCUUCCAGGGUUGUCGCCAGCCGUUGGCCAGAUGACAUGCCAGAUAUAUCAGAAAGCUUCAAGUUUUGGAAGAUCCGUGCGGCACAAUCUGGUCUGUGGGCAACAAGAGAAGGGAAAGGAAUCCAACGUGGUGCUACUGUAAAAUCUUCAAUUCUGGUUCGACUGCCAAAGGACUUCAGCUCAUCUGGUGGCCCUGUAUAUGCUAAUGUUGCAGCUGAGAAUACACUAAAAAAAGCUGUGGGCACACCAAAUCUAGCAGCAGUUUCUGGUACCCAACAUGGGAUGAAAUCAAACAGUAUCAGGUCUGGUUGAUCCCUCUGCAGUAACAUUUCAAAUGGUGCCUGCAACCCAUCGUAGGCCUUCUUCAGAUACUGUACUUGUUCCAGCUGCAGGUCUAUCGUAGCCUCGGAAUUUUCUGGCAAGCCAUCAGUCGGCGGCAAUGGGAUUUCCACCAGCUUUAUCUGGUCAGUUAAACUUGCAGGAAUGGAAGGUAAUCUCUGAAUAUUUCUUGGGGUAGAAAUGAAGGAUAUGGAGAUACCUUUUGCUGCUAAUUUUUUUGCCAACUCAAGAAAUGGGAGCAUGUGACCGAAUGCCAACCAUGGGAACAUCAUCACAUGGUACUGUUUAUCAGCCAUGGAGCCUUGGAACUAACUACUAGGGACAUUGCAGUGAAUCAGUGUUGUUAUUCUAGCUACUUAAAUAGAAAUUGUUAGCACAUUCUUUACAUGAAAUAUAGUUUAGCUUGAACUAUAACGAUAAUAUAUCGAUCAUAUUGUGUGUUGUGUGGCAA